rnacentral:rRNA from 1 species
CAGUCGCCGCGGGAAUACGAAGGGGGCUAGCGUUGUUCGGAUUUACUGGGCGUAAAGGGCGCGUAGGCGGGCUGAUAAGUCGGGGGUGAAAUCCCAAGGCUCAACCUUGGAACUGCCUUUGAUACUGUUGGUCUUGAGUCCGGGAGAGGUGAGUGGAACUGCGAGUGUAGAGGUGAAAUUCGUAGAUAUUCGCAAGGACACCAGUGGCGAAGGCGGCUCACUGGCCCGGAACUGACGCUGAGGCGCGAAAGCGUGGGGAGCGAACAGGAUUAGAUACCCCUGUAGUCCCUGUCUCUUAUAC